AGAGUUUGAUCCUGGCUCAGGAUGAACGCUAGCGACAGGCUUAACACAUGCAAGUCGAGGGGCAGCACAGGUAGCAAUACCGGGUGGCGACCGGCGCACGGGUGAGUAACGCGUAUGCAACUUACCUAUCAGAGGGGGAUAACCCGGCGAAAGUCGGACUAAUACCGCAUGAAGCAGGGGUCCCGCAUGGGAAUAUUUGCUAAAGAUUCAUCGCUGAUAGAUAGGCAUGCGUUCCAUUAGGCAGUUGGCGGGGUAACGGCCCACCAAACCGACGAUGGAUAGGGGUUCUGAGAGGAAGGUCCCCCACAUUGGUACUGAGACACGGACCAAACUCCUACGGGAGGCAGCAGUGAGGAAUAUUGGUCAAUGGACGCAAGUCUGAACCAGCCAUGCCGCGUGCAGGAUGACGGCUCUAUGAGUUGUAAACUGCUUUUGUACGAGGGUAAACUCACCUACGUGUAGGUGACUGAAAGUAUCGUACGAAUAAGGAUCGGCUAACUCCGUGCCAGCAGCCGCGGUAAUACGGAGGAUUCAAGCGUUAUCCGGAUUUAUUGGGUUUAAAGGGUGCGUAGGCGGUUUGAUAAGUUAGAGGUGAAAUCCCGGGGCUUAACUCCGAAAUUGCCUCUAAUACUGUUUGACUAGAGAGUAGUUGCGGUAGGCGGAAUGUAUGGUGUAGCGGUGAAAUGCUUAGAGAUCAUACAGAACACCGAUUGCGAAGGCAGCUUACCAAACUAUAUCUGACGUUGAGGCACGAAAGCGUGGGGAGCAAACAGGAUUAGAUACCCUGGUAGUCCACGCAGUAAACGAUGAUAACUCGCUGUCGGCGAUACACAGUCGGUGGCUAAGCGAAAGCGAUAAGUUAUCCACCUGGGGAGUACGUUCGCAAGAAUGAAACUCAAAGGAAUUGACGGGGGCCCGCACAAGCGGAGGAACAUGUG
rnacentral:rRNA from 1 species